rnacentral:rRNA from 1 species
GCCUAAUUAUCCUAAAGGGACCAGAUCCCUUCUGAUCUUAGAAACUCAAGAAGGAUCGAUCCAUAUUAAUACCCAGAUGGGAGACCAUCAAUGAAUACUAGGUAUUAUAGGCU